CCCCCACUAAGUUUCAGACUCAAUCAGCUGAUCGCCGGCGACAUUUUCCAGCACGGCCAUGCGCCAGCUGGCAAGCGUUGCCGAACACUAUCAAACACUCGACGACAUCAGCAUUACCUUCUGCAAUUGUAAAUUGGGAAAAUAAUUCAAAAAAACCUGGACAAUUUUUGUGCUGAAUGGUCUGUACAAAAAAGCAGCAAGCGAAAUCAACAAGCCAGAAGAGCGGCAGAGUUUUUUGGAAUUUAAAAGAUUUGAAGACAUUUCCAUCAUGAGCGACGGUAAGUCCACCGAAAAAGAGAUGAAGCCUGACAUCCAAAAAGAAGAGCCAGAGCACAACCACAAUGCAGAGCAGGCCUCAAGGGAGGUGGACGUCGUUACCUUUCUGGCCGAACUGUUUUCAAAACAGUAAUGACGAUUCGCAAGAGAACUCCAAGUCGAUUAAAGAUAUCUCGGACGACAAUGAGAAGUGUCCCCAUUACGAGGAACAGCCGGACGAUUCGCAGAGUCCCAAAACUCAUGCCUUUCCAUAUCAGGAAUGUUCUGACGCCACGUUUCACGGCGAAAUACUCCACUUUUUGCAGAGUCGCAAACCGCGAGGUUCUGAAGAUGAGAAAGGUUCGGGCGACAAUGUUGAAUGUUGCCAGGAAGAGUUGAUACCACACACACAGGAUAACCACGAGGAUGGAUAUGGAAACUCAGUUUCUUAACGGCUA
rnacentral:sRNA from 1 species